AAGAUAUUAGUAAAAAUAAUACAUAACUUUGUCAAAGUUAAAUUAUAGGUUAAACCCCUAUAUAUCUUU
rnacentral:tRNA from 1 species